CUCUCUCUCUCUCUAUAUAUAUAUAUAUAUAUAUAUAUAUAUAUAUAUGUAUGUAUAUAUAUGGACAUACAUACACACAUAAUUACAUACAUAUGUGUGUUUGUGUGUGUCAAUCCACACAUGUUGACGUAGCCAUGCACAUCUUGCAUGCUGACUACUAUUUUGCCUAAGUCUAGCUGGUGCCACAAAUUUGGAUGGCUUGCUAUUUUUGCAGGCAACCAAGUGCUGCCUGUUAGACCCUCCUCAAUGUAUGAAAAUAGGCAAAGCUGAGCCUCUGAUUUUUCCUAUGUUUGGCACUCUUUUGUUAUCUUUUUGUUCUUUUCGUGUGGUAUUUCAGUCCUGUCAUCUUUUUCCAUGUGUUGAAUUUCUCAAGCCAUGCUUUGGAUAUUGAAUCUUGGCUCUGUUCUUUUGAGGCCUGGAGAAACCAGUCUCCUCUUUGUCCUGUCAUCUUUUUCCACGUGUUGAAUUUCUCAAGCCAUGCUUUGGAUAUUGAAUCUUGGCUCUGCUCUUUUGAGGCCUGGCGAAACCGGUCUCCUCUUUGGACUGUAUUGAUAUCAUGGUUUGUAACUGUCAGCGUUGCCAGAGUUGAUACCGUGUUGGUUUGUUAAGGAUAUGCAUAUUUUCAAACAUCCUUUAUUCUGGCAAGGCUUGUUAUGGUAUGUAAUUUGCUAUAUCCUUUUUGUUGAGAUGGAUUGCCCCAAUAUUUCAGCUAGGGCUGAGCAAAUAACCAAAACCCGAAGAAACCCACUCAAUCCGACCCAAUAAACAUUGGUUUCGGUCAAUUGAAAGACAAAUCGGGUGGAAUCGGGUUGGAAUUUAUAAAAUAUCGGUUAUUUAUAGUCGGGUUUGAUUUUUACACUUUUAACCUGUAUGAAAUGAAUACUAACCGAUAUAGUAUUUUACAAACUUACUUUCAUUUUGGAUGGCAUCGUUUAGACUUCAAUACUUCAAUAUUUUGUUUAGACUUCAUUCUAAAGGUUUAGGUUUUUUUUGCAUUAAA